rnacentral:lncRNA from 1 species
GCAAUCAAUUACACUUUGGCUCUACGAGCGUGCACUCCGCACUACUCCUAACUCGUUUCCAAGCUUUAACGCAUAAUUGCAUCGGCCUAUAGUAAAUCUCAUUACUACUAAAAUCAUGGGUGAUACUAAAAUCACCAACAUAAUUUUUGUACAAUUUUUUUAGUGAAUUAGAAAAUUCUUGAGAUAUUUUUCUUGAAUUAAAGAUGAGCGACUUGUAAUUGCUCUUCAAAAUCUCUUUUAUCUAUGGUAUAUUAUUGACUUAAUGCAUAUUUCAAUUCCUUAAUUUAAUUUAAUAUUCCAUUUUAGGCCAUUAUCUAAAAAAAUAUUACAUGUUUGUCUUUUAAAAGUUGUUUUGUUAGUCUAAUUAAUCUUUUCCCUUAAAUUUUGUGAAAAAAAUGUUAAAUUGUUCAUACGGGACAAUCUACUUAUGUUAUCUUACCUAUUUUUUUUUAAUUUAUUAUUAUUUAUUAUUAAACAUCUGAAACACCGGAAUCCAAAUUUCAAUUUAUCUAAAUUCAUAAUAGAAAAUUGAUAAUAGCGUCGGACGCUAAAAGCCUAAGUUAUGGGUAGGAAGAGUCUCAGUUUGAUAUAGGAAAUAAGAAGAGUUAUUAUUUUUUUAUACACAUUAUUAAUCAUUUGCAGGAUUUUUUAACCUCCGAAAAUAAAAAACCUCCAAUUUAAAUAAGAUAUCAAUUUUUAGUACAUAUAUUGAAUCUUAUUUUGACUAAUUGCCUUGUUGUCAUGUUACAUCUGCAUAAGUUAACGUUUUUUUUCCCACAAAAUCUAACAGAAAUGACCAAUUAGACUAACGAUAGUGUUUUUAAGAUACUAACAUGUACAAUUUUUUAUAGAUAAGAGAUUAAAGUGAAUUAUUAAAUUAAGUUCAGGAAUUUCGUGAUUAAUUAUGCCUAUACUUUUUAUAUAUAUUAAUGCUCUUACAAGACUUUGAUAAGGUUUAGAUUGUUGAUAAAAAGUGUAUACAUAACAGAAAGAUAAAAAAAUUCUAAUAAUUAAAAUAAGAAAAAUAACUAGUUAAUAAAAUUAAAGAUAUUUGAUUGAUUUUUUCUAUAUUCUUUAAUAUUUUCCCUGUGAAGAUAUUGUCCUCAAGUCUGUAGGUAAAGGAUACAACUUCAACCUUAAGACUGAUGCAUCCUGUAAGAUGAAGAAUCCAUCACCCUUUAUACCAAAUCCAUUCACUACUGGAUACAUCUGCCCUAACAGUCAUAUGAUCCAUUAUAUGACUAAUCACAUAAUUUUUUCAAGAAAGAGAAACGUUGGUCUUAUAACUUAAUUUGAUGUCAUAUGGGUGAUAGAAAAUAAAAUCAAGGCAAAGUGGACAAAUAAAUUAAUCUAAUACAUGACGGUAAAAAUUACAAAGAUACAUAUAUUUAAAGUUAACAAAAUAUUGAUGCAUGUUGAGUAAAAAUUUGAUUAAUCUAAAGUAAAAAUUAUUAUAUGAUCCACUUUGUGAAAAUAUAUGGGUCACACAAUCUUCAACAUCUUCGGUAAUAAUUUUUUCCCUUUGGUUAGAAAAAUCUUUCUAUGAAGUUUAUAACAAUUUUUUUAUUUUAUUUUAUAUUUUGAAUAGGAGUUAUAUUUAAGGUUACUGAAAGUUUAAUUGUUGAGAAUUGUUUUAAGUAUGAAUAUUACAAAAAAUUUAAUGUGAAAUUGUUGUUUCAAUAUGUUAUAUUUUUUUCUUUUUUAUCUCAAAAUAAUUAUCACUUUAAAAUAUUAAUGUAAUAUUUAUUAUUU